rnacentral:tmRNA from 1 species
GGGGGCGAACAGGGUUCGACCGGAUAGGCGAAGCGUAAGUGGCGUGUCGUGGUUGAUCAGUGGGCCACGUAAAAAGCUGAUCAAACUUUUAGUUGCCAACGGCAAUUAUGCUCUGGCUGCCUAGAGAUAGGCAUCCCGGACUAAGGGUUGGAGCCGAACUGACCCGGACGUCCGUCACCAAAUUCGGAUCGCGAUUAGUCACUGCUGAGCACGCUAAUCGUUAAACAAGUUCCCAGCUAGGUCACGAGCAGCCAGGUCGACGCGGCGGUUCGCCGACCGAAAUUAAACCAGUCGACUACACACGUAGAAGCUUGCGUGGAGAUAUCACGGGACGCGGGUUCGAUUCCCGCC